rnacentral:rRNA from 1 species
AGAGUUUGAUCCUGGCUCAGAUUGAACGCUGGCGGCAGGCCUAACACAUGCAAGUCGAACGGUAACAGGAAGAAGCUUGCUUCUUUGCUGACGAGUGGCGGACGGGUGAGUAAUGUCUGGGAAACUGCCUGAUGGAGGGGGAUAACUACUGGAAACGGUAGCUAAUACCGCAUAACGUCGCAAGACCAAAGAGGGGGACCUUCGGGCCUCUUGCCAUCGGAUGUGCCCAGAUGGGAUUAGCUAGUAGGUGGGGUAAAGGCUCACCUAGGCGACGAUCCCUAGCUGGUCUGAGAGGAUGACCAGCCACACUGGAACUGAGACACGGUCCAGACUCCUACGGGAGGCAGCAGUGGGGAAUAUUGCACAAUGGGCGCAAGCCUGAUGCAGCCAUGCCGCGUGUAUGAAGAAGGCCUUCGGGUUGUAAAGUACUUUCAGCGGGGAGGAAGGGAGUAAAGUUAAUACCUUUGCUCAUUGACGUUACCCGCA